CAGAAUGUUUCCACAAGCUGUGGUUGACUGUGUCCAAGGGAUCUCCCACUGCAUGUGAGAACAGGUUGGAGAGACUUUGACAGCUGAGGUCAGCACAACACCUGUAACUGCCAAUCACCUUUCCUAUAAUA